rnacentral:lncRNA from 1 species
ACAUACAACACAUCGGAUCGACAAUUUGGUAAAAGAAAGCUUUUACCAGAAGUUCUAGAAAACCGAGUCCUGUAAGCAAAGUGACCCGGAAUGUGAAUUUUGUUAAAUAAACCGUCUUUUUUGCACCCUGAACAAUAGAUAAGAAGCUUCCCGAGCGCACUCCAGUUUCCAUCUACACUGUGGCUGCCACUAGAUUGAAGAUCAUGCAUCAUUUUGGGGGCUCGUGUUCUACAAAACUCCUUCCACAGGACUCGUUUCACAAGAUCGUCAAACCAUUUGCAGACGCAAGAAAGCGCCGCUAUUAUUUUGGGAUUCCAGUUUAAAUGUUGAAGAAGUAGGAAGAUGACAUCUUCACUUAUAUGGCCUUUUGUGCACAUACAACUAGCGGAGUGUAUGCAUCGGUACUGCUUGGUUAUGAUCAUUGUCUAGAAUCAAGAGAUGCGAUGCGAGUGAAGAAGGGAGAAACUUGAA